GGCCAGUGGGAUAAGAAAGAUAAUCAGUUCAUAACAAGGCCCACCGAGAAGUGGGGGGGAAUAAAAUGGAAAAGGGAAAGUAAGUGAGAAUUAGUCUUUCAGGAGAGGAACCAGCCAAAGAGUCGGACAGGAAGUUGGGCUUAGUUAACCAUUAAAAUCUCCCAACAUUCAAACCCAUUGUUUCCUCACAUCAAUAAUUUUUAACAGCAGAGGCUCACCUAGUGACACAUUAACAAGACCUCUUGUGAGCACAGCGACAUGAUUUAAAGACGCCUUUAAAUUCUGCCUUGCCAGAACUCUGACAUUCUUUAAGUUCUGCACACGGGUGGCCUCCUUCGGAGAAGGGGGAGCGCAGCAUUCAUCGCGUCCACAGCAAGAUCCCACAGUGGCCAUCUGCUGAGUGGGCUGCUGGCUGAGGGAAACAGGCCGGAAGGCUCCCCGACCAGCUUAUGGAGGUGCUGGUGGUCUGUAAGUGGGAGAUAACUUCCUUCUGUUGUCAUUCAGGCGGCUGAAUUACUCACAGCUUCUGGGAUCCAGACCUCCCGUACUGUCUGUGUGGAGUUUGCAUGCUUUCCCUGUGACCGUGUGGGCUUUCCUCGGUUUCCUGCCACAUCCCAAAGCCGUGCAGAUACUUUGUAGUGCAGUUAUAAAAAGCACCAACCACUGAAACCAUCUGAUGAAAGGAUGUGUGUAACUUUAUAACAUUCAGCCGAGAGGGGCAGGCAUCACAGGAUAUCAUUAUGUCACCGACAAUAACCACUCCUUCAGGAGUUCGAGGAGAUUUGGUCUGUCACCAAAGUCACUCACAAAUUUCUACAGAUGUACCAUGGAGAGCGUUCUAACUGGCUGCAUCACCGUCUGGUAUGGGAGAGGGGGCACUGCACACGAUUGAAAUAAGCUGCAGGAGGUUAUAAGCUCAUCCAGCUGCAUCAUGGGCACCAGUCUCCACAGCAUCCAGGACGUCUUCAAGGAGCGAUGUCCCAAAAAGGCAGCAUCCAUCAUUAAGGACACACAUCUCACAAAUCACACAAGACGUGCCCUCUUCUCAUUGCCACCAUCAGGGAGGAGGUACAGGAGCCCAAAGGGACACACUCAACAAUUCAGGAACAGCUUCUUCCCCUCAGCUAUCAGAUUUCUGAAUGGAUAUUGAACUCAUGAACACUAUCUCACUACAUUUUCCCCUCCCUUUUUCCACUACUUAUUCAAUUUAACUUUUGUAAGUAUAUAUAUCUACUUCUUACUGUAAUUUACAGUUUUUUUAUUAUGUAUUACAGUGUACUGUUGCAGAUGGGGCUCGUCAGCCUUGGCCUAAUUCUGCUCCUAAAUCUUAUGCUGAAGUUGCAUAAUAUGUUGGUGAGGCAUAAUUUGGAGGAUUGUGUGUAGGUUUGGUUGCCUACAUACAGAUGUAAAUAAGGUUGAAAGAAUACAGAGAAAGUUUACAAGGACGUUGCCAGGUCUAUUGCAGACAUCCCACCUCUCCCGGAAGUUCCGAGAGUCUCCCACAUAUUAACAGUGGCUCCCUGAUGCCUGCAAAUUAUAUACAAUAUCACUGAAAUUAAUUUUUUUGAGAGCAAGCGAGAGAAAGCAAGAGAGAGCGCGAGAGCGACUAUGAGAGAGAGCACGAGAGAGCAAGUAAGCAAGCGAGAGAGCGCGCCAUGGCAGAGUGUUCCAAAAAAAAUAAAAUGUACGUCACCCCAGACUACACUAAAGUGUAGCCCUGCCUAAUAGGGGUCAAAAUAAUGACAGUGUUGCUCACUGCACUGUUUGCAACAGUGACUUUUCUAUUGCCCAUGGUGGGUUAAGACUGUAAAAGACAUGUUGAGGUGAGUUUAACAGUUGUCAUUCGUUCAUUAGCAUAGCUAAUGCUAUUUAAACUAGCUGCCUAGCUGCUAAUGAGCUACUCUAUUGCAGACAUCCCACCUCUCCCGGAAGUCUCCUGCAAAUUGAUGGUGCUACCUCCCUGAAAUGAGGUUUUGCAGGGUGGGAUGUCUGCUAUUGGACCUGAGUUACAAGAAAGAAUUGAAUAGGUUAGGACUUUAUUCCUUAGAACGUAGAAGACUGAGGGGAGAUUUGAUAGAGGUAUACAAAAUUAUGAGGGGUAUAGACAGGGUAAAUGCAAACAGGCAUUUUCCACUGAGGUUGGGUGGGACUACAACCAGAGGUCAUAGGUCAAGGGUGAAAGUUGAGAAGUUUAAGGGGAACAUGAGGGGAGACAUCUUCAUUCAGAGGGACAUGAGAGUGUGGAAUGAGAUGCCAGCACAAGUGGUGUACAUGAGCUUGACUUCGACAUUUAAGGGAAGUUUGGGUAGGUACAUGGAUGGUAGGGGUAUGGAGGGCCAUGGUCCAAGUGCAGGUCAAUCAGAGUAGGCAGCUUAAAUGGUUUCAGCAUG